UGUGAAGAAGGCCUUCGGGUUGUAAAGCACUUUUGUCCGGAAAGAAAACGUCUUGGUUAAUACCCGAGGCGGAUGACGGUACCGGAAGAAUAAGCACCGGCUAACUACGUGCCAGCAGCCGCGGUAAUACGUAGGGUGCGAGCGUUAAUCGGAAUUACUGGGCGUAAAGCGUGCGCAGGCGGUCUGUUAAGACCGAUGUGAAAUCCCCGGGCUUAACCUGGGAACUGCAUUGGUGACUGGCAGGCUUUGAGUGUGGCAGAGGGGGGUAGAAUUCCACGUGUAGCAGUGAAAUGCGUAGAGAUGUGGAGGAAUACCGAUGGCGAAGGCAGCCCCCUGGGCCAACACUGACGCUCAUGCACGAAAGCGUGGGGAGCAAACAGGAUUAGAUACCCUGGUAGUCCACGCCCUAAACGAUGUCAACUAGUUGUUGGGGAUUCAUUUCCUUAGUAACGUAGCUAACGCGUGAAGUUGACCGCCUGGGGAGUACGGUCGCAAGAUUAAAACUCAAAGGAAUUGACGGGGACCCGCACAAGCGGUGGAUGAUGUGGAUUAAUUCGAUGCAACGCGAAAAACCUUACCUACCCUUGACAUGGUCGGAAGUC
rnacentral:rRNA from 190 species